AGAAACUGAAGUAGUAAAUAACAGAUUAGAAAAGAACAGAAAGACAGCUGUAGUAGUCAGAAAACAUGUUAAAAUAGCAAGCUAAGAGAGACAUCUGUGUGAAGAAGAGCUCUGCGGGGUGACAUCAGAUCCCACUACAAAGGAUGAGUCAAUCUGCAGUCAACAAGGUGCUGGUGCUAUAAUGCAUUUCACAUGCAAAUACACAGCAGGUCUCUGCUAAGACCCCCAAGAUCUGCAGGAUGGAUUCUGAUACCUGAAACCUUGCUGCAGGAUUGUGCUCAGGGAACACUCACUGCCAGUUUGAAGAAUUACAGUGCCAGGAGCACAAAAAACAAGAGAACAGCGUGAGCAACAACAGCUUUCUCCUGAAGCUCUGCUGCCCUUACCUUACUCUACCUUUAGCAUGGUCAUCUCUGGUUCUCGCCACAAGACAUGAAGGAUGAGGAAGGAAAAUGGAUGGACCAAGUCAUCCACCAGCUGUGGUAAGGUGUUCCCUCCCCUUUGCUCUUGCCACUGAAAGUUUGUUACAAGCAAUUUGUUAGCUGGUGAAAGACAACCGAUACCUGGAUGCCUCCAGGGAAGGAGCACUGUGGACUCCAUCGCACUUCUCUGUAUUGCAUCAGGACAUAAGACUUUACAGAAGAAAGUUGGUAAGCAGCUACGCUAGAGAGAACUGGGCCAAGUGACCCCUUCACAACUCCUGAAGGCACAUUACCAUAAGAGGAGUGCUGUUCCUGCUUUUCAUACACUGCCAAAAGUAUUAAAGAUAAGCUGGGCUGGGAAAGCUCAUUUCCUACCGACUCAAUAGGCCAAAAGGACAGAAGGCCUUAAUAACCAUCCUCCUGUCAACAGUGCCAGAUUGCAUCUGCAUAUCAUCUGACAACACAGCCAGGUAACGUGUGACAGUCCUCUGUACAUCAGAGAACCUAAAACUGCAUUCUCUACAUUCAACCAUACUAUGUGUAAAAGCACAGGCUAAUUACAGACUAAUUUGAAUUAAGAUCUCCUCUUCUUUGACUUAAGAGGGAGCAAGAGUUUCCUUCAAGGAUUAUUCAGAGCAAGAACAGCUCAUGUGCUCUGAAUCACUUCCAAAGGGUCCUGUCCCCUUUGCCACAGCUCUCUGCACUGGCAGUAGGAAGAAAGGACCCAUGUUAUUCCUGGCCUCUACUUGUAUUUUCCCCAUCAUCCAUACUGAUGCUUGGUAUGGUGUCUGAUUUGCUUGAGUAGUGAAUGGUAAUUAUUGGGACAGACAGAGCAGUGAGUUUUGAUGUUCCAUCAUUUCCACAGUACCUCAGCCUAGAUUAAGGCCCUCAGAGAAAUGGCUUUUGUAAUUUAAAAGCAAUAUAGC
rnacentral:lncRNA from 1 species